UACAGAGGGUGCGAGCGUUGUUCGGAAUUACUGGGCGUAAAGCGCGCGCAGGCGGCUUCUUAAGUCUGACGGGGAAAUGCCGGGGCUCAACCCCGAGCGUGCCGGAGAUACUGGGGAGCUGGAGACGAGUAGAGGCAAGCGGAAUUCCGGGUGUAGCGGUGGAAUGCGUAGAGAUCCGGAAGAACACCGGAGGCGAAGGCGGCUUGCUGGGCUCGGUCUGACGCUGAGGCGCGAAAGCGUGGGGAGCGAACAGG
rnacentral:rRNA from 1 species